rnacentral:sRNA from 1 species
AGCGGAACCUUCGCCGCUGACGAGAUCGAAGAAGUCCUUGCCU